rnacentral:rRNA from 1 species
AUUGAACGCUGGCGGCAGGCUUAACACAUGCAAGUCGAGCGGAAACGAGAAUAGCUUGCUAUUCGGCGUCGAGCGGCGGACGGGUGAGUAAUGCUUGGGAAUAUGCCUUAUGGUGGGGGACAACAGUUGGAAACGACUGCUAAUACCGCAUAACGUCUACGGACCAAAGGGGGGGAUCUUCGGACCUCUCGCCAUUUGAUUAGCCCAAGUGAGAUUAGCUAGUUGGUAAGGUAAUGGCUUACCAAGGCGACGAUCUCUAGCUGGUUUGAGAGGAUGAUCAGCCACACUGGGACUGAGACACGGCCCAG